rnacentral:rRNA from 1 species
AUUGAACGCUGGCGGCAGGCCUAACACAUGCAAGUCGAGCGAGCGGCGGACGGGUGAGUAAUGUAUGGGGAUAUGCCCGAUAGAGGGGGACAACUACUGGAAACGGUGGCUAAUACAGCAUAUUCCAGGAUGAUCCCAUAUGGGAUUAGCUAGUGGGUGGGGUAAACGCUCAACUAGGCGACGAUCUCUAGCUGGUCUGAGAGGAUGACGAGCCACACUGGGACUGAGACACGGCCCAGAUGCCUCCGGGAGUCAGCAGUGGGGAAUAUUGAACAAUGGACGCAAGCCUGAUGCAGCCAUGCCGCGUGUAUGAAGAAGGCCUGAGGGUUGAAAAAAACUGGCAGCCGGGAGGCGUUACCUGAAGAAUAAGCACCGGCUAACUCCGUGCCAGCAGCCGCGGUAAUUC